AUUGAACGCUGGCGGCAUGCCUUACACAUGCAAGUCGAACGGCAGCGGGGGAGAAGCUUGCUUUUCCUGCCGGCGAGUGGCGAACGGGUGAGUAAUACAUCGGAACGUGCCCUGUAGUGGGGGAUAACUAGUCGAAAGAUUAGCUAAUACCGCAUACGACCUGAGGGUGAAAGGGGGGGACCGCAAGGCCUCAUGCUAUAGGAGCGGCGGAUGUCUGAUGUAGCUAGUUGGUGGGGGAAAGGCCUACCAAGGCGACGAUCAGUAGCUGGGCUGAGAGGACGAUCAGCCACAGUGGGAAUGAGACACGGACCAGACUCCUACGGGAGGCGGCAGUGGGGAAUUUUGGACAAGGGGCGAAAGCCUGAUCCAGCAAUGCCGCGUGUGUGAAGAAGGCCUUCGGGUUGUAAAGCACUUUUGUCCGGAAAGAAAUGGCUCUGGUUAAUACCUGGGGUCGAUGACGGUACCGGAAGAAUAAGGACCGGCUAACUACGUGCCAGCCGCCGCAGUAA
rnacentral:rRNA from 1 species